AACGAACGCUGGCGGCAGGCUUAACACAUGCAAGUCGAACGCAUCCUUCGGGGUGAGUGGCAGACGGGUGAGUAACGCGUGGGAAUAUGCCCUUCAGUACGGAAUAACUCAGGGAAACUUGUGCUAAUACCGUAUACGCCCUUUUGGGGAAAGAUUUAUCGCUGAAGGAUUAGCCCGCGUCUGAUUAGCUAGUUGGUGGGGUAAUGGCCUACCAAGGCGACGAUCAGUAGCUGGUCUGAGAGGAUGAUCAGCCACACUGGGACUGAGACACGGCCCAGACUCCUACGGGAGGCAGCAGUCGGGAAUUUUGCUCAAUGGGCGAAAGCCUGAAGCAGCAACGCCGCGUGAGGGAUGAAGGCCUUCGGGUUGUAAACCUCUUUUCUCAGGGACGAUGAUGACGGUACCUGAGGAAUAAGUCACGGCUAACUACGUGCCAGCAGCCGCGGUAAAAC
rnacentral:rRNA from 1 species